UACGAAGGGGGCUAGCGUUGUUCGGAAUUACUGGGCGUAAAGCGCACGUAGGCGGACAUUUAAGUCAGGGGUGAAAUCCCGGGGCUCAACCCCGGAACUGCCCUUGAUACUGGGUGUCUUGAGUGUGGUAGAGGUGAGUGGAAUUGCGAGUGUAGAGGUGAAAUUCGUAGAUAUUCGCAGGAACACCAGUGGCGAAGGCGGCUCACUGGACCACAACUGACGCUGAGGUGCGAAAGCGUGGGGAGCAAACAGG
rnacentral:misc_RNA from 1 species